rnacentral:rRNA from 1 species
GACAGAGGGUGCAAACGUUGUUCGGAAUUACUGGGCGUAAAGGGCUCGUAGGCGGCCAACUAAGUCAGACGUGAAAUCCCCAGGCUCAACCUGGGAACUGCGUCUGAUACUGGAUGGCUUGAAUCCGGGAGAGGGAUGCAGAAUUCCAGGUGUAGCGGUGAAAUGCGUAGAUAUCGGAAGGAACAUCAGUGGCGAAAGCGACUUCCUGGACCAAUACUGACGCUCAUGUGCGAAAGCGUGGGGAGCAAACAGG